rnacentral:rRNA from 1 species
AGAGUUUGAUCCUGGCUCAGAACGAACGCUGGCGGCAUGGCUAAAACAUGCAAGUCGAACGCGAAAGUUUCCUUCGAGAGACGAGUAGAGUGGCGAAAGGGCGAGUAAUGCAUGGGUAACGUACCCUAAGCACGAGGAUAGCCGCGGGAAACUGCGGAUAAUACUCGAUGAGACCACGGUGUCAUAUGGCACAGCGGUCAAAGGGUGGGGAUCUCUUCGGAGACCUGCCGGCUUAGGAGCGGCCCAUGUCCUAUCAGCUUGUUGGUGUGGUAACGGCUCACCAAGGCAAUGACGGGUAGCGGGACUGAGAGGUUGACCCGCCGCAUUGGGACUGAGACACUGCCCAGACUCCUACGGGAGGCUGCAGUAACGAAUAUUGGACAAUGAACGAAAGUUUGAUCCAGCAAUGCCGCGUGUGGGACGAAGCUCUUCGGGGUGUAAACCACUGUCCGGGACUACCAAGCAAAGAAGGCCAAUACCCUUCUGCGUUGAGGCGUCCCGAAGAAAGUCACGGCUAACUUCGUGCCAGCAGCCGCGGUAAGACGAAGGUGGCUAGCGUUGUUCGGAAUCACUGGGCUUAAAGAGCACGUAGGCGGCUUAUCAAGCGUCAUGUGAAAUCCCUCGGCUCAACCGAGGAAUUGCAUGGCGAACUGAUAGGCUUGAGGCAGGCAGGGGCAAGUGGAACUCUUGGUGGAGCGGUGGAAUGCGUAGAUAUCAAGAGGAACGCCAGAGGCGAAGGCGACUUGCUGGGCCUGACCUGACGCUCAGGUGCGAAAGCUAGGGGAGCGAACGGGAUUAGAUACCCCGGUAGUCCUAGCUGUAAACGAUGUCAACUAGAUCGAUGGUUCUCUGACGUUCUGUCGGUCGAAAUAAAAACGUUAAGUUGACCGCCUGGGGAGUACGGUCGCAAGGCUAAAACUCAAAGGAAUUGACGGGGGCUCACACAAGCGGUGGAGCAUGUUGCUUAAUUCGAUACAACGCGAAGAACCUUAUCCUGGGCUUGACAUGUUAGGAUGCCCAUCUGGAAACAGAGUAGGCUGCCCUUCGGGGUGAAACUUUCACAGGUGCUGCAUGGCUGUCGUCAGCUCGUGUCGUGAGAUGUUGGGUUAAGUCCCGUAACGAGCGAAACCCUUGUCGCUAGUUGCAAGCGCGUUAUGGCGGGGACUCUAGCGAGACUGCCGGUGUUAAACCGGAGGAAGGUGGGGAUGACGUCAAGCCCUCAUGGCCUUUAUGCCCAGGGCUGCAAACGUGCUACAAUGGCAGAUACAAACCGACGCAAGACCGCGAGGUGGAGCAAAUCGGAAAAAGUCUGCCCCAGUUCGGAUUGUAGUCUGCAACUCGACUACAUGAAGUUGGAAUCGCUAGUAAUCGUAGAUCAGCUAUGCUACGGUGAAUGUGUUCCUGAGCCUUGUACACACCGCCCGUCAAGUCAUGGAAGCUGGUAGCGCCCGAAGUCGGCCCAAUUCAGGGUCGCCGAAGGUGAGAUCGGUGACUGGGACUAAGUCGUAACAAGGUA